UCUGACAUAAAUUAAGCCCUGGUGGUCGCCCAUUGAAGUUAAGCAGGGCUCUGCCUGGUCAGUACCUGGAUGGGAGACCCCAUGGGAAAGCUAGGUUGCUGUCAGAA
rnacentral:rRNA from 1 species